GCGGACGUGGUGGAACUGGCAGACACACCAGACUUAGGAUCUGGUGCCGAAAGGCGUGGGGGUUCGAGUCCCCCCGUCCGCA
rnacentral:tRNA from 1 species